rnacentral:piRNA from 1 species
UGGUGAUCGUGUAAAUUCUUG